GGGCGGAGGGGCAGGAGGUGCCAGGGAAUGAAAGAGCCUCCUUCCUUAUUGUCCUCUCCCUUAGAGACCGGCUAACAACGCAGGUCCUGGCUACCUGUCCGGGUCUCAGCCCACGGGCCCGAGGAGGCAGCGUGAGGCGGGGGCCCGACCUCCGCGCCGCGGCUCCAGCCUCCUGCGGGCACCAGGGCAGCCAUGAACAGGAUCUUUCCUCAGCCAAGGACCCUGGAUGGAAACCCAGCGGGGGAAAACAAGGCCUUUGAAAGUGAGGAAGAUUGUUGCAGCCCCUUCUCCUGCUGCACCCGCCGAGGUUUCUGGAUCUCCGCCUGGACCUUGACCCUCCUUGGAUCUCUGAGUCUCAUCCUCUGGCUGAUCAACAGCUUUGGACUCCCACCCCCACCCCAAAUGACCAGGGCCUGUGCGACCACGUCCAACCAGACGGGGUUCCUGUGUGACGACCGGAAGACUUGCCUCCCCGCCAGCCUCCUGUGUGACCGCGUCCGGGCCUGUGCCCACGGAGAGGACGAAGAAGAGGCCUUGUGUGGGAACGUCCCCCACAGCCUGCCCAGUUUCUUGGUGUUCCGAUGCGGCGACCUCAGCUCCUGGACCUUCGAGGAUCAGAAGUGCAACGGCUUCAAUGACUGUGGAGACUGCUCUGAUGAAGGCUCCCGGGCCGGCUGCCCGCCCUGUGGCCCUCAGUGGUGGAGCUGCUCCUCCACCUUCUACGAGUACUGCGGCUGCAUCCCUCGGCGCCUCUGCCGGGACCACGUUCAGCACUGCUCGGACUGGUCAGACGAGUACCUCUGCCCCCGGCCCUGAGGAGCCCGGCCGGCCUCGCCUCCAUCACCGCUGGGCCCCCGGCCGCAGGGAACGGAAGGCAGAGGCCAAGACCCCGGGCCGGGGAAGCGGGCAGGCCCCCCCGGCUCCUCCCCAAGGCCCAGACCCACCGGCCCCUCCAUCGGGGGAGCAGCAGCCUGGCUGUCGGGCCCCCUUUCCCUCCUUACCGUGAUGUGGCCAAGUUACAGCCAGGAGCCUCCCUGCUCUUCCAGCCUCCAUCCUCCCAACCCACCAGCCAAGGGAGUGGGCGGGGGCACAGACUGCGGCCUCCAGACGCUAAGCCUGAUCGUCAUGGAUCUGAGGGGGAAUGGAGAGAGCCCCAGGGGCAGGGCCAGGGAAGGACGGGGCUACAUUUGGACUGGACGGCGCUGAGGAUCAGACACCAAAAGGCCCCUCCCCGGUGGGCUGGCGCAGUCUCCGGGAUGGCGCGGGCUCCGGCCUGGUGUGAUUUCCAGCCUGGCGUGGCACAGUCUCCAGCCUGGCAUGGCAGCACGCCGAGGUUUGUGCGGUGACCUUGGCUGAGCCCCCGUGCCUGACCUGAGCUUCCGUUUCAAGGCUGGCCCAGCGGGGUGUGAAGAUUGCCCCUCUCCCAGGACGGGGACACAGGAGCCACCACUUCCCUCUGCCUCUCAGGAAGCCCUUGGGGAGGAGGCCCAGGGCCAUCCCUGUGGCACUUUCAUUGUUCACCUGCCCCGCUCUCCACCUGGAGCUUGGGGGGCGGGGCAAGAUCCCCCUCAUUCCCUUGGUGUUGGUGGAGGCUUCACAUUCUUAAGGAGCUGCUGUGGCAACUUGCCCAGCAACGUCUCCAUGAGGUUCCCGUGGGGUGACAGCUCCUUCCUCCUCCUCUUCUUCCUCCUCCUCCUUCCCUCCACUCAUUCAGUGCCACCCGAGGCUCAGGUGCCAGGAGAACAAAGGGAGCCCCUGGUGCCCUCUGUCAAUAUUUACCACCUCCCAGCAGGGCCCCAGGUCUGGGAUCAGGGCAUUAAAUACACAAAUUUUUGUGUAUUCACAAAAUACACAGCCCCGCACUAUUCAAACAGGAGACAGAAGGCCAAGAGCCCUUGGGGUGGGUGCAGGUCACGCUCAGUGCUCUCCCCUUUAGCCCUUCUGGCUCUGGCGUCUCCCCUGGACUCUUGCCUUCCCCCCUCCCCCACCACCCACUUUGGGCUUGGGCAAGGAGCCUGGAGAGCCAGUGGGGGCAGAGGCUCAGGGAGGCUCAAGGGUGGCCCUUACCUUCUACAGAUGGGAGAAGGGAGGCCUGGGAGGGAGUCCUGGGCCCGGAGCUCAAAGGGUCAGAGAGCCCUGCAGGUCCCAGAGAGCCCAGGCAGUCCCGGAGAUUCCUGGAGGUCCCAGAGCCCAGGUGGUCCCAGAGAGCCCUGGAGGUCCCAGAGCCCAGGCAGUCCUGGAAAGCCCCAAUGGUCCCAGAGCCCUGGAAGUCCCAGAGAGCCCUGGAGGUCCCAGAGCCCAGGUGGUCCCAGAGAGCCCAGGCAGUCCUGGAAAGCCCUGGCGGUCCCAGAGAGCCCCAGUGGUCCCAGAGAUUCCUGGAGGUCCCAGAGAGCCCUGGAGGUCCCAGAGCCCAGGCAGUCCUGGAAAGCCCCAGUGGUCCCAGAGCCCUGGAAGUCCCAGAGAGCCCUGGAGGUCCCAGAGAGCCCCAGCGGUCCCGGAGAGCCUUGGCAAUCUGUCAGGCAGGGACGGACACUGUGGCAUGGGCUCCCCCCUGUGCUGUUACUGCUCCCUUGUUCUCAGUCACCUCCCAGGGUCUGGGACCCCGCUUGAGCUGUUCUUGGCAGUAGCUCGCCACUUCCUUCUGCGGCCCCGCGUGUUAGUGGGGUGACCCAACAUUCCCAGCAGCAUUUGGAGCCACAGCAGACUGGCUCAGCCGAGCAAUUGUGGCUGAGGGAGGAGCGGAAGCGUUCGGGGGACCGUGGGACGCAGCCGGAAGACAAAGAAGCACAGGGAGAAGGACUUGAGGAGACCACUGUGCAUCUGAGACCCCAGGAAUGAUGUCAAUGACAUCACAGGUGGCUCCAGUGACAUCACCGGUGACGUCUCGAUUCAUGCAUGAAUUUGGGCUGCACAACGUCAUCGUGACCCCCCCCUUCCCAUGGCUGGACAAGUCAGGACACCAGCGGUGACUCAGGAUGCAAUGGAUUCGGCCACUGAGUAAAUAAAUUGUUCUCCUCCAUCGGUCCCACGAGGGCAGUCUUCAUACACUUGUGGGGCAGGUGCCCCCCAGCUGGUCUAUCUGCUGAGAAGCUUUGCCAGGACAUGGCUGCACAGGCUGCAGCUUCCGGGAGCCACUGACCAAAGAUGGAUGGGCAGCCCUGGGAAGUGCCAGGGGUCCUGCACAGCCCCUCCAUCCCCCUUGUGGGAACUGAGGUGAAGGAAGCCCCCGGGAGUCUACACUCUAACUGCAGCACCGCUAGCUGGAAGAUGGGAUGGAAGACUCGUUCUCUAAGAAAUGACGGACACGAACUGACGUCGAGCGAAACGAGCAGACCCUGGAGAACGCCGUGCCAGGCCACGAGAUUAUGGGGCGACUGAUUUGGUGCUUCUCAGCGACACAGUGAGUGAUCCAAGGUGUCAUCUGCCUCCAAAGAACAAGCCUGAAGGCUGAGCGUGGCUAGUACCUACGCUUUUCACCUUUGGUGGCUGUUUGCUUUUUCUCGUGUUUUUUUCUCUUUCGUUCAUACUAUUGAGGAAAAAACAAAGAAAUCACUAGUUGAGCUCCAACUGAAGGCAAUGCUCACUGUUGGUUCUGCAGGACAGAUAACAGGUACCUCUCUCCUCCGGAGGGUACGGAGGGGGAGAGCAGGAUGGAGUGUGGGUCCAAAAUGUCUGGGGGACAUCUGCCCUCAAAGCUCUCUGAUGUAAAAACAAAAGGCAUAAUUUUUUAAGUUUUAAAUAAGACCUUAGCCAGAAAUAAAAAUCCAAAACUAAGGCCAGUGGUGACAGACACCUGUCUUUCCCAUUAGUCCCAGAACCCGGGAGCGAGGAGCCUUCCAGGUUUGUUUCCACCAGCUGAUGUCUUAAGAAAGGGGGUGCUGGGAUGAAUACAGGUGCUGGAGAGACUGAAAGGAACUGAUGCUGAGGGAAAUGAGCAGGGCCAGGAGAUCAUUAUAUACGUCAACAACGAUACUGUGUGAGGAAGUUUUCUGAUGGAAGCGGAUUUCUUCGACAAAGAGAAGAUCUAGCUCAGUUCCAAUUGAUCAAUGAUGGACAGAAGCAGCUACACCCAGAGAAGGAACACUGGGAAAUGAGUGUGAACUGUUUGCAUUUUUGUUUUUCUUCCCGGAUUAUUUCUACCUUCUGAAUCCAAUUCUUCCUGUGCAACAGGAGAACUGUUUGGUUCUGCACACAUAGAUUGUAUCUAGGAUAUACUGCGACCUAUUUAACAUGUAUAGGACUGCUUGCCAUCUGGGGGAAGGAGGGAGGGAGGGUUAAAGUCGGAACAGAAUUGAGUGCAAGGGACAAUGUUGUAAAAAAUUACCCAGGCAUGGGCUCUGUCAAUAAAAAGUUAUAAUUAUGAAAAAAAAAACCAGAAUAAGGAUAGUAGGUUUUUUUGAAUGAAGAAUUUGUAGCUAUUUGUAGUUUGCAAAGAAUAUUCGGAAUCAUUAUUGAUAGGAAAAAGCAAAUUAAAACAACUUUCAAAUAUCAUUUCAUACUUAUCAUAUUACCUAAAAUUAUAGAAAGAGAAAAUGACCAAUGUUAGCAACCAUAUGAAACAUUAAUGCAUUAGCAUUUUGGAGAGCAAUGUGGAAUAUAUAUCUCAAAGAAUUAUUAAACUUACCUAUGCGCAGUAUUAUUGGUCAGUUUCCUAAUUAGGAGAAAUUUUUAAAAAUUAAAGAACUUGCAUAUUAAUGUUUUUGUAUUAUUAUAUAUUCUUUCUUGAAAUGGAAAUUUAUUGUUACACAUAUGUGCACAUGAGAAUGUUUGGGGUUUUUCCUUGUUCUGUCAUGGUUUCCUUAAUUUUUUUUCUUAUUUUGUAUUUUAUUUUAAAUAAAUAUUUACAAAAAUAUUAUUUAAAAAAAAGAAAGGGGGUGCUGGAGACCAAGUCCUCUGGUUAAUUACUUCUCCUUGUAAAAGAAAUCUCCUUUAAUAUUAUUGUUCUGUAAGAAAUGAUCAGCAGGACGAUUUCAGAGAGUCCUGGAGAAACAGGAACUGAUGCCAAGUGAAGUGAGCAGAAUCAGGAGAUCGUUGUAUACGGCAACGACAAAAUUAUACAACGAUCAAUUCUGACUCUCUUCAACAGUGAGGCGAUUCCAAUGACCUUGUGAUGGAGAGCGCCUUUUGCACCCAGAGAGAGGACUGUGGGAGCUGAGUGUGGAUCACAACCUGGCAUUUUCACUUCUUUUGUUGUUGUUUGCUUGCAUUUUAUUUCUCAUUUUUUCCUUUUUGAUCUGAUUUUUCUUGUGCAGCACAAUAACUGUAUAAACACGUUUUGCCUAUAUUGGAUUUACAUAUAUUUUUAUCAUGUUUAACAUAUAUUGGAUUACUUGCU
ensembl:lncRNA